CAGACAGACAGACAGACAGAGAGACAGAGAGACAGACAGACAGACAGACAGACAGACAGACAAACAGACAGAGAGAGACAGACAGACAGACAGACAGACAGACAGACAGACAGACAGACUUUGUGUCUCAGAAGACGAGUCAGUGUGACGGUGACGUCCCGAUGAAGAAUAAAAACCAGCUGCUGCUCUUUUCAAACGGAGUGAAGCAUCUUUGAGCUGCAGCCAAACCAGAGCACAUCGUCUGCCAGCAGCCGCAUUCCUCACGAUCCCACUUCCUGAAAAACCUCCGACGCCCCGAAAACCGCAGGUGGAACCAGAGAGGAAGACUCCGGUGUCUCACCUCGACACUCUCCAGAGACGUGGAGCGUCUCAGCUUGGCUCUGCGGACGCCGCCCGGAGACGAGUCCGCGGCCUCGGCUCUGGACAGGGAAGAGUCCUCGGAGUCACGGGUCAGCGGGUCGGCGUCGGGACGGGAGCGUCGGCCGUAUCGCUUCGCUCCCUUCACGAACUUUGGCUUCACCUCCUCCGGGACGACUGCAGAGACGAAGGAGGACGAGGAAGGUGUGACAGAGACAGGGUCAGUGAAGCUGCAGCGUCACCUUGGAGACGUGAGACAGUGAAUGAAUUUAUCUUUCACAGAUGUGCAAAUUAAGACUCAUGUUCCCAGCAGCCCCUUCUCCCUUUACCCCGCCCCCUCGUGGGGUCGUACCUGGCUCCAGGUAACUGCUGUCGUCCUCUGACGUGCUGAAGUCCAGAGAGCGAGACAGGACGCUGACGAAACCUUCUUUAAACUCCUGGAAGUUCACCUGAGGGACGAGACGUGAGGUCAUGUGACACAGUGACUGAGGCUUUUAUUGUGAAAACACUGAACCAGACAGGAAGUGGGUCAAAAAAACAAAACCAGGAAUAAAAGUUCAUAUACUGUGACUUCACACAGACACACACACUCACACACACCGUACCCUGGCGUAGCUCCGCCCCCCCAGCAGCGUGUGGAGCAGCGGCGGCAGGUGAGCAUCCAGCUGCAGUUUCCUGCAGAGCGCCGUCAGCUCAUCUUGGUCCAGGAAGCCGGUGGCCGUCGUGUCGCAGCUAUCGAACUCCGCCUUCAGCUGGGCGACGUAGCGGCUUUGCUCCGCCUCCUCCAUCGCAACGCAUCACGCUGCGACGCCAAAGACCUUACAACGGAAACACAAGACGCACUGAGGCAGCGACUCACAGAGGUGCUCCGAGCGGCUCCUCUGGUUGGUCGACAACUAACUGUACUAUAACUAUUUUUAUGUCACGUGUUCAUCACGUUAGAAUCUGAGGAUUAAUAACAAACAGCUGUAAAAACACGUUGUCACGUUGUGUGUCUGUGGUCAUCAGGUCCGGCCCUGAGGCAUGAGCCAACCAAUCAGCUGCUUAGUUAAGAGCACUUAUAUUAUUGAAUAAUAAUAAUAAAUAAUAAUAACAAUAA